UUUUUUUUUUUUUUUUUUUUUAAUUUUUUAUUAGGUAUUUAGCUCAUUUACAUUUCCAAUGCUAUACCAAAAGUCCCCCAUACCCACCCACCCCCACUCCCCUACCCACCCACUCCCCCUUUUUGGCCCUGGCGUUCCCCUGUACUGGGGCAUAUAAAUUUUGCGUGUCCAAUGGGCCUCUCUUUCCAGUGAUGGCCAACUAGGCCAUCUUUUGAUACAUAUGCAGCUAGAGUCAAGAGCUCCGGGGUACUGGUUAGUUCAUAAUGUUGUUCCACCUAUAGGGUUGCAGAUCCCUUUAGCUCCUUGGGUACUUUCUCUAGCUCCUCCAUUGGGAGCCCUGUGAUCCAUCCAUUAGGUGACUGUGAGCAUCCACUUCUGUGUUUGCUAGCAGCCUCUCUUUCUAUCUCAGAAGAGAGGUUGGUCCUUUAGCUCUGAAUAGAGCUGGGCAGUGAAGUAGUUUUGGGGCCCAUUCUAGUAGAGGUGGGGGCAGGGUGGUCCUCGAAGGCUGUCAACUGGGAAGGAGCAGCACAGCAGACCCUAGGGUCUGUGCAGCCUCCUUUGCACUGUCUGGUUCGCAAAUCCAGUCUGACUCUACUUAGGAAGUCAUAAGUAUGAGAAUGGGAAGCCUGUUGCCAAGUGUCCCUGAGAUAGUCUAAAUGUUCCUGGACUUCUAGGUUAGCAGUAGUUUGCUAACUGGUACCAGUCCACUGACUGUGAUUGGCUUUGAGUGGAGUUCUUGUCUUUUUUCCAACUGUCUCCAGAAGUGGGAGCAGAGCACAAGGCAUAGUGGGGUGCCUCCUAGCCCUUCCACUUCCCUGGAAAAAUGGACACUUCUAGGGACCUACCUCCCACCACAGCUUUGUGUAUCAUGAAGGGCCUGACCUGUUGUUACCAGUCCGGCCAGGAAUGGAAGGAACUUCCCUUAGAAUCUUAGUGAGUUAUGUGUUGUUAAUCAUUUCUUCAUUUGGUUUUCAGGAGAAGAGUUUGAAGUUGUGAAGAAGGAAGUGGCAGAAAUGUUGAAGGGCAGAAUCCUGGUGGGGCAUGCGCUACACAAUGAUUUAAAGGUGCUGGGCUCUUCCAUGUGAGCCACACAAGCCUUACAUCCCUGUCUCCAAAAGCACUACUCUGGAGGCUUUUUCAUUUUGAUUUUUUAUCUAGACUUGGGAUUUCUCUAGGAAUAGUGUCAGGUACCUGAUGUCUGGCUGUGUUCAAGAGACCACAUUAGGUAGUUUUUGGAGUCCCGACUACAUUGGGGGUUUCAGUGCCAGAGUAUUGACAGCUCAAAGUAGGGGAGUUUUGAAUGUCACCUACCUGACAUGGCAGAUGGCCUGGUGUCUAGCUGUGUGCUCCAGGGCCAGAGACAAAUCUAUGCACCCUGUCAGAGCCCUAGGGUUCUUGUUAUGUGUCCAGUUUAUAUCUGGGCAUUGCUGCGAUGCUGGAAGCCCACCUACCUGGGUUUAUUAAAUGGAUCACUUUAAGUUCACAAGCAAACUGCUGCCUAAUCCAUUUGAGGGUGCAGCAGGAAAAUGGGAGCAUAGUCGACUUGGCAAAAGGGACACCUCUGUUGUCACCUGGUGUGGUAGACUCCAGAGACAAGGUUUCUUUGUAGCCCUGCUGUCCUAGAACUCACUAAGUAGAACAGGCUGGCCUGGAAUGCAAGAGAUCCACCUGCCUUUCUGCCUCCUGAGUUCUGAGAUUAAAGAUUACUUAUUUUUCUGUGCAUUGCUGUUUUGCCUACCCUAUGUGACAGUGCCAGAUUUCCUGGGACUGGUGUUGUAGACAGUUGUGAGCUCCCUUAUGAAUUCAGGACAUUGAACCCAGAUCCUCUGGAAGGGAUCCAGAGCAGCCGGUGCUCUCAACUGCUAAGCCUUCUCUCCAGCCCCAGAGAUUCUAAUGCCAGACAUCAGAGCCUUGCCGGGUACACCAGGAGUUACACAAUGUAAACAGAUCUUGUUUAAUCCUUUGAGGAAUAGGCUUUUGUGGGUAGCAGAGCUAAGUGUUAGGGGGUUGGGAGCAGAUUCCAGGGGAGCAGUGGAUAUGCAUUCAGGGACUUCUCCACGGCUCCUCAGCAUCCCAAGUUUCUGAGUUGAAUGUUGCUGCCGCUUCAGCUAUCCCUAUAGGAAGGGAACUGAAUGGGCACGUGCUUCCUCAGGGUGUCAUUCCAGCUAGUCACCUCCUUUAGAGGCCAGCCACAGCCAGCCAGUUAGGUAACUGAGCUCAGAGGACUCUACCGAGUGCUAGGGCAUGUGACAGUGGACCUUGUCCUUCCUGGAUGUGAUCUGUAGUGCCACUGUAUUCAUGUGUUUCAGGAACCUCUAGAUGGGAGUUUAAUUCUCAUUCAAUUAUUUGGGGCUAGAGAUGUAUGUAGCUCAGUGGCAGAAUGCGUGCUUCGUGUGUAAAGGCCCAGGGUUUCGUCCCAGCACC
rnacentral:lncRNA from 1 species